rfam:Triticum aestivum genome assembly, contig: Triticum_aestivum_CS42_TGACv1_scaffold_096407_2AL
UUUCUACUCCCUCCGUCUGAAAAUACUUGUCAUCAAAAUGGAUAAAAAGAGAUGUAUCUAAAACUAAAAUACGUCUAGAUACAUUUCCUUUUAUCCAUUUUGAUGAGAAGUAUUUCCGGAUGGAGGGACUAUUUG